rnacentral:RNase_P_RNA from 1 species
GCGGGCGAUCGCGGCAGGGUUUAUCCCUGUCGAGGAAAGUCCGGACUGCAUAGAGCAGGGAGUCCUUUUGUUAAAGAAGGAUGCCGCGGACGAUAUGCCGCGGUAAGACCAGUGCCACAGAAAACAUACCGCCGGCAACGGCAAGGGUGAAAAGGCGGGGUAAGAGCCCGCCGGGCGACAGCGAGAGCUUCGCCGCAGGGUAAACUCCUCCCGCAGCAAGACCAAAUAGGGAGUGAUGUCAUUGCUCGUGACGCUAUCAACUCCGGGUUCUGGUCGCAUAGACAGAUGACCGCCGCCGGCUUUGCCGGUACAGAAUCCGGCUUACAGC